UCUUCAUGAUUACUCAGAGCCAAAGACUCUUAACAGAAUUCUGCUUCCUCUACUGCUUCACUUUGUACUGAUCAGAAAUGUUGAACAUGAUCCCCUGAACAAGAAAACAUCCUGUUUCUAUGGGAGAAACAUGAAAAUGAGAACAUUUUACCUACAAGAUCUCCUGUGCAGCUGGAAAAUAGGGCAUCAUUAUCUGUCAAGAAAACUGCCACAGACCUACAGACUGAGAAAAAAAUGCAGAAGGGUUACAUCAGGACAAUUUUACAUUUUGGAUGGCUGUACAGAAGAACAUCGUGAGUUGAAUAAGAAACUGCUGGAUCAUCUUCUCUCAGGAAAAGCUCGAUUGGGCUCAGGCUACUUCUCUGGAAGAAUAAGAACAGUCUCUGCCAAUCUAUGAAUUUGUACAACAUGAUGUAAGAAAACUUCAAAAGGAGUUCUGGUUGAUGGCACUUUUAGAACCACCAAGGCUGUGGAGGAAAACCGUUUUCUGGAAAGAGCACUCCCAGAGCUACUUGCAAAAUCAUUAAGUGCUUAGAUCAUAGAAUAGUUCUUAAACUCCAUCACAUGUUUUUCCCUCCAUUUUUGUUUCUUAAUUGUUAAUCUCCUGAACCUUUGAGUAGUCAUGAUAUCCCCUACAAUAGAAGAGAACUUUCCCAAAGGCUUUCUGAAGCUUCUGAGAACCUCUGCUAUAAAUUAUGGUUGUAUUCUCCACAGAAGGCUGAGAACCAUUUUGUGCAAAUAAUGGCACAGAAGCUCUUGCAUUUCUGCAGAGUUGCUGAAGGCUUCUUCCCCCUCCCCAGUUUGUCUACUGCUGUCAUUCUAAAAUCAACGGAGGCCAGGGCUCUUUGGGACUCCAUGCUUGUACUACCAAUGAAACAAUUGAUGGAGGGGAAGUGUAUCCUACAUGGUUUCAACACAAAGUAUUUCCGGAAAGCAGGAGCCUUUGGGAUGAGAGAGAGAACCUACAAGUGUAACUGGAAUAUGCACUACUCCUCCAGCUACUUGUCCAAGCUUACUACUGCACAGUAG
rnacentral:lncRNA from 1 species